rnacentral:rRNA from 1 species
AGAGUUUGAUCCUGGCUCAGAUUGAACGCUGGCGGCAUGCUUUACACAUGCAAGUCGAACGGCAGCACGGGCUUCGGCCUGGUGGCGAGUGGCGAACGGGUGAGUAAUGCGUCGGAACGCGCCGAGUAGUGGGGGAUAACGCAGCGAAAGCUGUGCUAAUACCGCAUACGUACUGAGGUAGAAAGUGGGGGACCUUCGGGCCUCACGCUAUUCGAGCGGCCGACGUCUGAUUAGCUAGUUGGUGGGGUAAAGGCUCACCAAGGCGACGAUCAGUAGCGGGUCUGAGAGGAUGAUCCGCCACACUGGGACUGAGACACGGCCCAGACUCCUACGGGAGGCAGCAGUGGGGAAUUUUGGUCAAUGGGCGCAAGCCUGAUCCAGCCAUGCCGCGUGUCUGAAGAAGGCCUUCGGGUUGUAAAGCUCUUUCAGACGGAAAGAAAUCGGGCGGGUG